UAUCUCUCCGUACGGGGAAGGAUGAGAAGCUUCGACUAAGGUUCGAUUCGAGCGAAAGCGAGAAAGCGUUGCCGCAGGCAACGACCCGAAGGGCGAAGCGCGCAGCGCUGAGUCAUCCCUUCCCCCACCACCA
rnacentral:sRNA from 1 species